GACGUAGGGCGCGAGCGUUGUCCGGAUUUAUUGGGCGUAAAGAGCUCGUAGGCGGUUUGUUGCGUCGACCGUGAAAACCCGGGGCUCAACUUCGGGCUUGCGGUCGAUACGGGCGGGCUAGAGUUCGGUAGGGGAGACUGGAAUUCCUGGUGUAGCGGUGAAAUGCGCAGAUAUCAGGAGGAACACCGGUGGCGAAGGCGGGUCUCUGGGCCGAUACUGACGCUGAGGAGCGAAAGCGUGGGGAGCGAACAGG
rnacentral:rRNA from 1 species